AUCGUAAUUAAACUGAUCAUGUAUUUAACAAAUGAAGGAAAAGAGACGAGUACAAAGGAGCCUUCCUAGCGGUGUGGUGAUUUAAUGCAAGUACAGAGUCGUAUAAAGCAAACGUGGGUAUACAGGAUUGGUUUGGAACUACUACAAAAUAUCUAUAUGCAUAUCGUAUGUACCAGUAUACACACAUACAUGUAUGUUGAAAUUAUAAAUUCAAACAAGAGUAAACAAAUUAUAGAUGUGACGGAGAUUUCGAGAGCGUAGAGAGGAAGCGACAGACGACAGACGUUGGCAGUUCGGCUCUUGUCAUGGAUUCUGUUUGGUAUUUCUAUUACACGUGAUUGCACCUAUUGGCAGGCACUGACACAUCGGCAGAUCAUCCCGAACGAUUGCCAGUUAUUUGUUCAUUCAUUGUUACUACAGCCGAGCCACACACUCACUCACACUCACACUCGCACACACACAAUCAUUUGGAGAUCACUGAGUAAAUACAUAUAGUAUGUACGCACGUACGUAUACAUAUAUGCCCCAAACUGGCAUAUGCACCCCACAGCUACGCAGAUCCACGGAACCCAAUGGACCCCCAACCAACGGAGGAUCCACCACAAAAUCAAGCGAUAACUUGGAGCUGGCUUGGGGUGAGCAAAAACUCGUUUUGGACAGAAUUGAUAUGCAGAAUGGACUUUGUACAGUACAGAACAUAAACACACACACACACCCAUGUGUCAUAAACAAAUAUAUAUUUUAAUAGGUGUAUACGCGCACGGGUGUGUGUGCUGCAGAUAUGCAAUUAAACGAAACAAAAUAUAUAUGAAACAUAAAAUGAAAAACAAGGAAAAAUACACGAGAAACAAACGAAAACAGUAAAUAAACACGAAAACGAUAAAUAAUAAAUGAUUUACUUAUAAAAAGGAAGGAAAUUAUAAACGAAAAUCGAUUAAAAAAAGUAAACAAAUUCGAAUUUGCAGUUUGCAUUUGCUUUUCUUCUAAUAUUCCAUUAACUGAAGAAAUCAAAUUGGCAUUUCGAGUGAUACAUAUUCCGGUUG